UACAGAGGUGGCAAGCGUUGUUCGGAAUUACUGGGCGUAAAGGGCGCGUAGGCGGUCUUGUAAGUCUCGUGUGAAAUCCCUCGGCUUAACUGAGGAACUGCACGGGAUACUGCAUGACUUGAGAUCGGGAGAGGGAAGCGGAAUUCCGGGUGUAGCGGUGAAAUGCGUAGAUAUCCGGAGGAACACCGGUGGCGAAGGCGGCUUCCUGGACCGACACUGACGCUGAGGCGCGAAAGCUAGGGGAGCAAACGGG
rnacentral:rRNA from 1 species